rnacentral:tRNA from 1 species
GCCUGGUUGGCUUAGUUGGUAAAGCACAUGACUCUUGGUCUUGAGGUUGUGAGCCCCACAUUGGGUA